AUCAACGGAACAAGUUACCCUAGGGAUAACAGCGCAAUCCUAGUUCAUAUCGACAGUUAGGGUUUACGACCUCGAUGUUGGAUCAGGACAUCCAAAUGGUGUAACCACUAUUAAUGGUACUAUUAAUGGUUCGUUUGUUCAACUAUUAAAGUCCUACGUGAUCUGAGUUCAGACCGGAGAAAUCCAGGUCUGAAACCCUAAUGCCUUAAAUUAAUGGAUGAAACAAUCUUAAUCCAGUAAUAUAUUUUAAAUAAGGGCUUGUUAAGAUGGCAGAGCCUGGUAAUUGCAUAAGACUUAAAACUUUAUUUCAGAGGUUCAACUCCUCUUCUUAACAUUACUACUUUUAAUUAUUCCAAUCUUAGUAGCUAUAGCCUUCCUUACCUUAAUUGAACGAAAAAUACUAGGAUACAUACAACUUCGCAAAGGUCCUAAAAAAUACUAGGAUACAUACAACUUCGCAAAGGUCCUAAUGUUGUUGGGCCUUACGGCUUACUUCAACCAAUUGCUGACGCAGUAAAAGAACCCAUAAAACCUUUAACAUCAUCAAUUGUAUUAUUUAUUAUUGCUCCAACCCUUGCCCUAACACUAGCAUUCACCAUAUGAAUUCCCCNN
rnacentral:lncRNA from 1 species